rnacentral:rRNA from 1 species
UACGUAGGGGCCUAGCGUUGUCCGGAUUUAUUGGGCGUAAAGAGCUCGUAGGCGGCCAACUAAGUCGGAUGUGAAAUCCCCAGGCUUAACCUGGGAACUGCAUCCGAUACUGGAUGGCUUGAAUCCGGGAGAGGGAUGCAGAAUUCCAGGUGUAGCGGUGAAAUGCGUAGAUAUCUGGAGGAACACCGGUGGCGAAGGCGGUGCUCUGGGCCAGUACUGACGCUGAGGAGCGAAAGCGUGGGUAGCAAACAGG